rnacentral:rRNA from 1 species
UACGUAGGGUGCAAGCGUUAAUCGGAAUUACUGGGCGUAAAGCGUGCGCAGGCGGUUGGGCAAGUCAGAUGUGAAAGCCCCGGGCUCAACCUGGGAAUUGCAUUUGAGACUGCAUUGCUUGGGUGCGGAAGAGGGAAGCGGAAUUUCCGGUGUAGCGGUGAAAUGCGUAGAGAUCGGAAAGAACACCAACGGCGAAAGCACUCUGCUGGGCCGACACUGACACUGAGAGACGAAAGCUAGGGGAGCGAAUGGG